GAAAAUCUAAACUUCCUGAUGAGGAGCAGCCAAACAUCAGCCCCGUCAUCAGGAAAGCUUCUCUGAAAAAGGAGAAGAUAAAAAAGAAAACAAAGAAAGAAAAGAAGGAGAAAAAGGAGGUGGAACAGAAGGAGGAAGACGAGGAGGAAGUGAUAGGAGAGAAGGAGGUGAAGGUGCAGAAGAAGAAGGAUGAAAACUCAGGGGAAGCUCCAAUUGAAACCAAAGAGAAAGCAGUGCAGACAGACAGCACACAAGAAGUAAAAUGGAAACUUUUGGAGUUUUGGAU